rnacentral:misc_RNA from 1 species
ACACGCCCACCCAACCCACGCCACGCACAUGUUUCGGGAGUGCCACAGGAACGUUAAAGGUGAACACGAGUAAGUCUGAUCUCUGCCGCCUUGAAAUUCCACGCAACCACCACCCGCUUCCCUUGCCUCGUGCACUUCCCGCCCUCUUAGCAUUCGCCUCUCUGCUCUCCCUCUUGAUGAAAAAAAAACGACCCGCGCCAUGUUCCGCGCCUUUACAUCCCCGAUUCUCGCCAAAGUACCCUACGCCACCCUGUUUGAGUACAACCAUGUCCUCAAGAAGGUGUUUGAGGCACAGCCGUCAAAGGUGGCGCUGAGAUGUGAGCUGCCGGGGAUGCCCGAGAUGCAGUUCACGUACGGGCAGCUGCAGCGCGAUGUAGUGGCCAUGGCGGGCGCGAUGGUUCGGCGCAAAGAGGCGGUGGCGCAGGCGCGCGGCGAGACUUCGCUGGGCUGGCUGCAGCCAAGCAAGCCGGCGCACGUGCGCAGCGUGUUCGCGCAAGGCGAGCGGACACCGAGCUGCGACUACAUUAAGGACACAGGCUUCUACACGAUGUCCGUGUUGUGCGGCCCGGGGUACACGUAUGUUGUGUCGCUGCUGGCGAGCUGGUCGCUGAACCAGCUGGUGACACCGAUGUCCGUGUCUCAGCGGUACAAGGACGAGCUGAUGUACGUGCUCGAGCACAGCGGCAGCCGCAGCAUUGUGGGCGACACGAAGCUGCUGAAGGAGAAGUUACCUGCCGAGUACGAGGAGCUGUACGUUCGCGCUGAGGCGGGCAUCGACAAAAUCCCGCGGCGUGCGCCGAGGGAGCCGCGGCUGCACAACGACUCCGACGUUACCUCCAACACGUUCCUCGUCGACACCGUCUACGACGCCGCUCUUCUUGUUCGCGACAUCACAGCAAAGCGUGAUAUUAAGGGGACCGCCACGCUGCAGGCGGAGUGGCUACCGCCCGCGGAGAGCGCCUGUUCACCGAUGCUGAGCGCCGAGGAUGUCGUGAAGCGUCUCGACGACGAGAAGGCCGCCGCCAAGGCUCGCGAGCUGGAUCGGCAAGCGGAGAUCGCGCAGCAGGAACAUCUCCGCCGGAACCGAGCGCCAACGGAAGCCAUGGGAGGCGCUGAUCCUGCGGGGAACGACGGAGACGGUGAGAGCCUCUUCUGCUUUGACUCGGCGCACCUUGAUGAGCUGAAUCGCGUUUACCAGCGCUGGUACGCCAUGCCGUCGGCGCGCCCGACCAAGUACGAUGACUGCCUCAUGCUGUACACCUCCGGCACGACGGCAAAGCCGAAGGGCGUCGUGCAUACCCACGCCAGCGUGACCAACAUGGUGAAAGUACUGCAGGAUGCGUGGCAGUGGAGAGAUACGGACAGCAUUCUUCACGUCUUGCCCUGGCACCAUGUACACGGCCUUGUAAACAUCCUCCUGUGCGCCCUCGCCUCGAAUGCGCGUUGCGUAGUUACCACCUUCGACGACGCUGCGCGGGUGGCACAUCGACUAGAGCAGGGCGACAUCACGCUCUUCAUGGCGGUGCCCACUGUCUACGUGAAGCUCAGUGAUGCUGUGCAGCGCAAGUUCAGCCCCAUUGAGAAGACCGGAUUCCGAAAGGCUUGCAUGGAAUCUGUGCGCCUCAUGGUCUGUGGCAGCGCGCCUCUGCCUGUGCCCACGCUCAACCAGUUCUGCGAGCUCUCGGGUCACACGCUGCUAGAGCGCUACGGCAUGACGGAGAUCGGCAUGGCCCUCAGUCAGCCGCUUCACCCCAUCGCCGACCGGCACCCCGGAACCGUAGGCUCGCCGUUGCCGACGGUGAAGACGUACGUGCACCAGCCGGAGACGGCGGAGGCGAUGGAGCAGGCGUCGGCAAAUGAGGCGGAGUACGACGAGGUGGGCAGCCUGGGCAUCGCGUCGGAGUCGCUGUUCGACCGCUACUGGAACAAUGCGACAGCGACGAAGAAGGAGGUGCGGACGAACGCGGCAGGGAUGCGGUUCUUCGACACGGGCGACACCGUUGGCGUGCGGCUGCCCGCGGGAAAGUCUGCUGUGUAUACAAUUCUGGGGCGGUCGAGCGUGGACAUCAUCAAGUCGCGCGGGUACAAGCUCUCUGCGCUGGAGAUCGAGGCGACGCUGCUUGCGCGCAACGACCUGUUUUACGAGAUGGCUGUUGUUGGCGCCGCGGACGCUGUGCAGGGUGAGAGCGUUGUGGCGGUUGUCGCGAUGCAGCCGGAGGCGGCGAGGGCGCGCGGGAUCACGUUUGGCGAGGGCGCCGCGUGGCACGAGACUGCAGCGGUGACGGAAGAACUGAAAAAGGUUGCCCUGCAGCUGCUGGCACCGUACAAGUGCCCGUCGCGGUACAUUGUCGUGCCGGAGAUCCCGCGCAACGCGACGGGGAAGGUGAACAAGAAGGACCUGAAGAAGGUACUGAACCUUGCGUGAGAUGCUUUAUGCUCCGCAUGUGGAGAGUGUGAGCUGCGGGGAGCAAGAGAUGGACCGUGCAAUGCGCGCGACGGAGAGUCCCUCAUGCUCUGCGUGUGUGAGGGCUCGUUGUGCUGUGAGGUCGGCGGCGCUGCUAUGGUGCGCGUGUGCUCGUGGCCUUUUCCUGGUGGUCACCAGAGGAGGAGGCGGGGUGUUUACUGGGCUGAUGCCUUGAUGACAGCUGCAGUCCCACUUGUGCACUGAUUCUCGUUUUUAUUGUUUACCUUUUCCCAGCUCCACGCACCACCUCUCGCGCUUGUUGGCGAAGACCAUGACGUGCUGAGCGGCCGUUUUUUACCACCAUCGGUGUAUGACGAGGAUGUACGGGGGGCGCCACCCGGGAGAGGGCACGAGCGCCUACGUCUGAGCAGAAGGCGAGGAGAGUGUGCCUGCACAUAGAGACACAAGCACACGCGCGCAUGUGCAUAUACAAGACACUGCCCUUUCUCUCUCCCUCUCUUUUUUUUUUGAGUAUCAACACUCGAACGUUUUCUCUUUGUGUGCUCCUGCGGGUGCGCGGUCGAUACUCAUCGGAAAGGGAAGGGGAGAGGAGGGAGAGAGGAGGGAGAGAGGAGGGAGGGAGAAGGGAGGAGGGCGGCGAUGAAAAGACAGAGCGGCGUUUGGCGCCACGACGUUUGGGGUAAUGUCUGUCCGCGUGCGUGAAGCCCCUCCUGGAAGCGGGUUCGUCUGACGAACUUGCGCUAUUGUGACUGGUUAGUGCGCCGAAUCGCUGCCUGCAGCGACUACCAUCGCUCCUGAUACUUUUGUAUCUCGGCACCUUGCCGACCUUGAGCCGCCAUCCCGCAGCUCCGCUUCUCCCUCAUGACUCCGGGCGAACCACUUCGAUAGCCCGCCCCAGCGCAUCUCGUGCACUCCGCUUCACAUUCUCGUGGCUCUCGUUAGCCGCACAGCCGCUUCACUCACCAACACAUGUGCACACAGUUGUGGGCUGCACGUGUCCAAGAGUGGCUGAGCGGCAAGCAUCCACAAAACAGGCGCACAGAAACGCAUUCGUGAAGGAAUGUCGGCGAGGGGAGACUUCGUUUUUUUUUCUGAGUGCGUACGUGUGCGUGUGCGUUUUGGAGCCCGAAAACUGAGCAGAUCUUGCUGGCUGUCGGAGGCAAAGAGACGGCCACACCUCCUCCACAAAGAGCGGUUUGAUGCCUCCUCCCUCCUCCUCCCCUCUCUGUCUCUGUCUCGCGCAGUGAGUCUAUGCGUCUCGCGUUCUUUUGUUUGUUUUCCCCGCCCCGUUUCUUUUGCGCCACGUCGGUGCCCUCCCGUGGAUCAUUGAUGAGGCCCUCUCUUCCUCCAAUCUUCGACUCCUCGCUCCCCAACCCCUUGUCGUCUUCCCACCUUGCCCUUCUCCUUAUCGUCCGCGUGAG